rnacentral:misc_RNA from 1 species
GAUGAAGAACGUAGCGAAAUGCGAUAAGUAAUGUGAAUUGCAGAAUUCAGUGAAUCAUCGAAUCUUUGAACGCACAUUGCGCCCGCCAGUAUUCUGGCGGGCAUGCCUGUUCGAGCGUCAUUUCAACCCUCAGGCCCCCAGUGCCUGGUGUUGGGGAUCGGCCCAGCCUUCCUGUAAGGCCGCCGGCCCCGAAAUCUAGUGGCGGUCUCGCUGUAGUCCUCCUCUGCGUAGUAGCACCACCUCGCAGUUGGAACGCGGCGGUGGCCAUGCCGUUAAACACCCCACUUCUGAAAGUUGACCUCGGAUCAGGUAGGAAUACCCGCUGAACUUAAGCAUAUCAAUAAGCGGAGGA